GGUGGCUCAGUGGUAGAGUGCUUGCCUGGCAUGCAUGAGGCCCUGGGUUGGAUUCCUUAGCACCA
rnacentral:tRNA from 1 species